UCAGAAGCGGGAUCCGAAGUGGAACUUCUAGCAGCCCCCCAGGACCACUGCAUGACCCACUUGUGUCCAUUGAUCUCUCAGAGCAGUUGGGGAUCCUGGGACAAUCCCUUCAUGAUCUAGAGCCUGAAGGUAGGAUCUUCUGAGAACAUCAGAAAAAGACUAUCUCUACCAUCCACACUACAGCAAAACUUUGGAGCCUUGAACCUUGGGUUCAUAAUCUCACAAUGGAGAAGGGUCCCUCCACACUCCUAGAACUGUACAUACAUUGGAACCCUUAAGGUAAAACUAACCAGGAAAGUUUCUCCCCAGAAGAAGAUGGCAUCCUUGAUGUAAACUGCUUUUCCCAAGAUCACUAAUCAAGACUUCUACUAUUGAGAGACUUAUCUUUGAAUAUAUUUUCCUUGUUUA
rnacentral:lncRNA from 1 species